UUCCAGCACUCUAAAUCUCUUUUUUUCCUUUUCCAAACCCUACGCAGGGAUUUUCACAAUAUUUGUGAUCGAGGGCCACCGCCUAGGGCACGAACUCCUCACCGUUGUCUAAGGAAGUUAUUUCUCCAGCUGUCAGAUUAGGCUCUCAUUGUGAUUCUCUUUUUCACAUAUCCGAAGGGUAAAUCAAUGUCGUCAUUUGACGAAAGGGGGUUUUUAAAACCCUAGCAUUGAAGGAAGUGUGGAAGUAAUGAUUGGGAGCAGCCGUAGAAGAUGAUGGCCAGAGGUCUGGAUCUAGGGUUUGAACAAACCACAUUAGAGGAUGACGGAUUCAAAAGAGGUUUUCCCCUUAGAUUUGGCCCGGAUUUGAGGGUUUUCGUUGUGAUUGCCGUUUGAGGGUGGAAUUUGAGGGUUUUCCCCUCAGAUUUGGCUCGGAUUUGGAUGAAUUCAAUUCAAAAGAGCUGGUUUUUAGGGUUUCGGAUUCGACUUGGAGGGGAUCUAGUUGAAGUCGAAGCAUUUGACCGAGGGUUUCCUACGGAAAUUACAUUUUGUGAGAAAUCCAUUUUUCGGCCUUUUUUUAGGUGCUUGAAGUUAGAUCUGAUUGGCAUUGAAGUGGUUUGCGGAAAAAUGGCAGUAGAUCUAUAGAAGAUUUGAGCAUUUUUAUCUGUCUGAUCUGCCAAUGGAGGUAGAACAAGAGACAGAGGUUCAUAUUAGUCUUCUCUCAUCUAAUUCACUUAAAUUUCUCUUCUUUUGCCUUAGCAUAUGCUCUUGGUUGCUGGAAUUGAUGAUUUUGAUGUGCAUUCCUUCAGUCUGUGAUUUUGGUUUCUUGGUUUUCUUUUCCUUCUUCUGCCGUACAUUUAACUUUUUCAGAUCGUUUUAGGGCAUUAAUCCAAAAAGAGGCAGAUCAAAAGGUCAAGUUGACCACACCAUAGAAAAUAGUGGGGAUUGGGAAAGGGUUAUCAAUCUUGUUGGAUUUUGGAUUGGAAGAUCUACGGUCGGAGUUGACAAAGAGUUUCGGGGGAAAGUCUGCCGGAAGCUCCAUUUCCAUCAGAAAAUCUUGCUUAGCCCGGAUGUUUUUGCCAUUAUGCUAUUCAACCUACCGGAUCUCAUAAUCUUCGUCUUUUUUCUGCUCGCAUUUGUGGAAUUGAUAGAGAAAGCGCUCAAGAACCGGAAUGAAUGGUUGAGUUGUAGGAAUCGAGAUCAGAGGAUAUAGGUGUAAAGCUUAGAGGAAGAGAAAGGGGUUCGAGGAGAUUUUCCAAAAACUCGAACGGAAGAGAUCAGAUUACUUUCUUGAAUUUCUCUAUUUUGAAGUUUUGUAGCUAAAAAUCUUUGUUUUUUCCAGCCGAACUAUAGGAGAUUCAGGCAAAAAGAGGUCUUCAGAACUCUGUAUUUCCAGCUGCACUGGCAAUGAAGAGGUGGAGUACAAGCCUCUCCCUGCUGGUCCAAGAAAUGGUACUAAAAAAGAGACUAGGGCAUCUGGAGAUGUGGAAGUGAGUUUAUGUUGUUAGUUGUAAUCCCAUCUAUCUAAGCUGUUGGAGCAAUUUCUUGUCACCAUCCCAAGUCCCAGUUCUUGAGAAUGUUUACUGGAAGGACCUCAUCCUUCUUGUCUCUAUCUGGAUUGCAUUCCUUGCACUACAGAUUGCCAAGAAUUACACGGCAACCUGUUCGAUAGCAUACUUGAUUU